rnacentral:rRNA from 1 species
GACGAACGCUGGCGGCGUGCUUAACACAUGCAAGUCGAGCAGUGAACCACUUCGGUGGGGAUCAGCGGCGAACGGGUGAGUAACACGUGGGCAACCUGCCCCUAGCUCUGGGAUAACCCCGGGAAACCGGGGCUAAUACCGGAUAUGACCUCGAGCGGCAUCACUCGAGGUGGAAAGAUUUAUUGGCUAGGGAUGGGCCCGCGGCCUAUCAGCUUGUUGGUGGGGUAACGGCCUACCAAGGCGACGACGGGUAGCCGGCCUGAGAGGGCGACCGGCCACACUGGGACUGAGACACGGCCCAGACUCCUACGGGAGGCAGCAGUGGGGAAUAUUGCGCAAUGGGCGAAAGCCUGACGCAGCGACGCCGCGUGAGGGACGAAGGCCUC